rnacentral:rRNA from 1 species
CUGGGCUCGAACGGCCUCUCAANGGCGGNGGAAACAUCGCUAUCCCGCAAGGGAGUGGGGUCGAGGUGCUGCAUGGCUGUCGUCAGCUCGUGUCGNGAGAUGUUGGGUUAAGUCCCGCAACGAGCGCAACCCCUGUCCUGUGUUGCUAAUCCCAAAAGGAUGCACUCUCAGGAGACCGCCAGCGAUAAGUUGGAGGAAGGUGGGGAUGACGUCAAGUCAUCAUGGCCUUUAUGUCCAGGGCUACACACGUGCUACAAUGGGCGGUACAAACCGACGCCAACCCGCGAGGGGGAGCAAAUCGGAAAAAACCGUUCUCAGUUCGGAUUGCAGGCUGCAACCCGCCUGCAUGAAGCUGGAAUCGCUAGUAAUGGUAUAUCAGAACGAUACCGUGAAUACGUUCCCGGGCCUUGUACACACCGCCCGUCACAUCACGAAAGUGGGUUGUACUAGAAGUCUUCAGGCUAACCCGCAAGGGAGGCAGAGGCCCAAGGUAUGACUCAUGAUUGGGGUG